rnacentral:rRNA from 1 species
UGCCAGCAGCCGCGGUAAUACAGAGGUCCCGAGCGUUGUUCGGAUUCACUGGGCGUAAAGGGUGCGUAGGCGGUGGGGUAAGUUUGAUGUGAAAGCUCGCAGCUCAACUGCGAAAUGGCAUUGAAUACUACUCCGCUGGAGGCUUGGAGGGGGGACUGGAAUACUUGGUGUAGCAGUGAAAUGCGUAGAUAUCAAGUGGAACACCAGUGGCGAAGGCGAGUCCCUGGACAAGUCCUGACGCUGAGGCACGAAAGCUAGGGGAGCAAACAGGAUUAGAUACCCUGGUAGUCCUAGCCGUAAACGGUGCUUGCUUGCUGUAAAAGGAAUCGACCCCUUUUGUGGCGAAGCUAACGCGAUAAGCAAGCCGCCUGGGAAGUACGGUCGCAAGAUUAAAACUCAAAGGAAUUGACGGGGGCCCGCACAAGU